rnacentral:ncRNA from 1 species
UAAAAAGCAAUGAAGAGGGAAAGUACGAUUACGUUAUUUUUCACAGAGAGCUUCGGGAGCUGAAAAGAAGCAAAAAUACGAAUCCGAACAAUGGCCUCAGAGCUUCGUGCUGAAACAAUCGUAGCUGGAUUGGAGUAGGUUCCGACGAGAUUUGGUGCUCGUUAUCCACACCACAGUAUGAAGAGCAGCAUAUACGCUCUCGUACUUGCAGAGGCUGUUUUGUGUGAGCAAACAGUAAAUUAAGGUGGUACCACGCGGCGAACAACCACGUCCUUAUC